AUUGAACGCUGGCGGAAUGCUUUACACAUGCAAGUCGAACGGCAGCACGGGGCAACCUGGUGGCGAGUGGCGAACGGGUGAGUAAUACAUCGGAACGUGCCCAAUCGUGGGGGAUAACGUAGCGAAAGUUACGCUAAUACCGCAUACGAUCUACGGAUGAAAGCGGGGGAUCGCAAGACCUCGCGCGAGUGGAGCGGCCGAUGUCAGAUUAGGUAGUUGGUGGGGUAAAGGCUCACCAAGCCAACGAUCUGUAGCUGGUCUGAGAGGACGACCAGCCACACUGGAACUGAGACACGGUCCAGACUCCUACGGGAGGCAGCAGUGGGGAAUUUUGGACAAUGGGCGCAAGCCUGAUCCAGCCAUUCCGCGUGCAGGAUGAAGGCC
rnacentral:rRNA from 1 species